rnacentral:rRNA from 1 species
CGGGUUGCAGCAGUGGGGAAUAUUGCGCAAUGGGCGAAAGCCUGACGCAGCGACGCCGCGUGAGGGAUGAAGGCCUUCGGGUUGUAAACCUCUUUCAGCAGGGACGAAGCGAAAGUGACGGUACCUGCAGAAGAAGCACCGGCUAACUACGUGCCAGCAGCCGCGGUAAUACGUAGGGUGCAAGCGUUGUCCGGAUUUAUUGGGCGUAAAGAGCUCGUAGGCGGUCUGUCGCGUCGGAUGUGAAAACCCAGGGCUCAACCCUGGGCCUGCAUUCGAUACGGGCAGACUUGAGUGUUGCAGGGGAGACUGGAAUUCCUGGUGUAGCGGUGAAAUGCGCAGAUAUCAGGAGGAACACCGGUGGCGAAGGCGGGUCUCUGGGCAACAACUGACGCUGAGGAGCGAAAGCGUGGGGAGCGAACAGGAUUAGAUACCCGAGU